UAAGGAAUAUUGGUCAAUGGACGCAACCCUGAUCCAGCAAUGCCGCGUGAGUGAAGAAGGCCUUCGGGUUGUAAAGCUCUUUUGUCAGGGAAGAAACACCGGCUCUAACACAGUCCGGGAAUGACGGUACCUGAAGAAUAAGCACCGGCUAACUACGUGCCAGCAGCCGCGGUAAUACGGAGGGUGCAAGCGUUAUCCGGAUUCACUGGGUUUAAAGGGUGCGUAGGCGGGCAGGUAAGUCAGUGGUGAAAUCCUGGAGCUCAACUCCAGAACUGCCAUUGAUACUAUCUGUCUUGAAUAUUGUGGAGGUAAGCGGAAUAUGUCAUGUAGCGGUGAAAUGCUUAGAUAUGACAUAGAACACCCAUUGCGAAGGCAGCUUACUACGCAUAUAUUGACGCUGAGGCACGAAAGCGUGGGGAUCAAACAGGAUUAGAUACCCUGGUAGUCCACGCCCUAAACGAUGGAUACUCGACAUACGCGAUACACUGUGUGUGUCUGAGCGAAAGCAUUAAGUAUCCCACCUGGGAAGUACGUUCGCAAGAAUG
rnacentral:rRNA from 1 species